UUCCUGGAACAGAUCUUCUAUCAUGAUGGCUGUAAAGAUAAUGUAGGAUAGAUGUUACAAUAGGAAAGGCACGAAGCCCCUUUUAUCAAAAACUCUGUCUCUCCCUGACCACAUUAUCUAUAGAUGACCCUGAAAAGAAUUGUCCUCCUGCCCUCUGAAGUCCCAGGCCACUACCCACCCCCAACAUGUUCCUCGCCUUUAGCUGCAAUACUUAAGCAAGCAGCUUAGACAGAGGGGCGAGUUGCUCAUUUCUGAGUUUCUCCCAUGUAUACAUGUUAUUAAACUUGGUAUUAUUUUCUCCUGCUAACCUGUCUUGUUAAUUAUUUGGCCAGCCAUAAGAACCUUAAGGGAAAGGGCAGAGGGAGAUUCUCCCUCUUCCCCUGACAGUUUUGGCGUAGUCGCCAGGAGCCACACUGGCUGGCAAGUUGCCUUCUCCGGCUGGAAGACCUGCCUUCUCCCUGGACUACUGCAGAUGAUGAGAUACGGGAACGCCUGACGAAAGCCGGCAAAAAGGACACAAUUGGAAACACUGGUUAUAUUACCAAGGCUGUGACUGGAACAUCAUAUUUGCCAUAUAACCAUACAGCUUUUGAGGAAUGAAGAUUGGACUUUAUGGAAUAAAGCCACGUGGAAAUAUUGGCCUGGUAUCUUAUGUUCCAAGCAGCACUUAGCAGGAUAAGUAAAGAAUGUCACUUAUCUGGCAGGUACAAGGAACCUCGAAAUAUUUUGGGGGAACCUCGGAAGAGAGGAAUUCACCCAAAUCUGUAGGUAUUACAGGCGAAGUUUGAUGACAAAAAUCCUUGGCUUGGCUUUCCUGGCCUCAAGAGGCCUUUGAAGUUCAAUCUGAGAUUUCUUAUAAAAAGUUCCAGCAAAGCAGAUUUAAAAGAGCCUAUGUGAUCAAUUGUUAUUCUUGCUGUACUUAUGUAAAUAAUUGGGCCAACUCUAUUGGAACUAGACUUAUUUUGCAAACUAGUUUCAAUUUUGCUAUCUUAAUAAAAAUGAGGGUGAUUUUAGAGAGAAAAAAUUAUAUUUCAGUAAAAACUAUUUCAGUAUAAAUUUGCAGAUAUUAGAUCCUAGUUUUGUUAAUUGUCUUUUGAGGUUUUCGUUUUAUGUCUGUUGACUGGACUGGAUCCUGAUUUCUUCUAGUCUCCUGAAAUAUCUGGCUACAGAUGUCCAAACUAACAUUUUUGAUUUUUUCCAUCAUUUUCAUUUGGAAUCACUGAAAACUAAACCUGCCCUUUUUCCUGAAGCCUUACAAACUGAAGCUGAUGGACUUGAUAUAAACUUAAGAGAUGACCUGACGACACCAUCAGAGACAUUUUAAACUGCAGAAGAUACUUUGACGCUGACAUCUAAAAAUCUUCUUAACUGGCUGUCCUCUGACCUCAGAAACUGGUUUACAAUUUGCUCCAACCAUUAACCUUGUUUUUCUUUUGUUUACAUAGAAAUGCUUCUAUUAAAUACUUGAUUGCUUGCUUCCACAACAUAGGCGUAACCUUGAGAGCCCACCUGCAUCACCACCUUCCAAAAGGAACUUAAUUGAACUGAUCUAUUAUCAGGACUAAGAAAUGUGUUCAGUGAGAUGAAACAAUCUACCAACCCAGCUUCUGGACUAUGAAACUUCUUUAAGUUUCAAAAGGACUGUGAAACUUUUAGUUUCAAAGGCGGGACUGUGGGAGAUCAAGAUUUGGCCACCCUGAAAUAUAUCUCUUUACCUUGA